UGUGAGCUGGCUAAGACUCUGUGCUGCUGAUUAGCGAUAACGAGAUAGUCAGACGAAGUUGACUCUGGUUUAUUUAGAACAUUCGAGAGCAGAAAUACAACAAAGCAGACUGCUUUGUUUGUAAGGGAAGCAGAAAUGUCAAGCCUGAAGAAAAGAAAUUCGAAUUCCUCGGCUGACCGCCACGAAGAGGAGAAGCAGGUGACCGAAAAGAUGCUUACUCCCGGUAGUGGGGAAAACGGCAACACGAACAAAACAGGGAGCCCCUCACUGGGAAGCCCAGAUAAAGAGACAAGCAACGUCAACGGAGGCGAGACUGUUGUUUUAAAAAGAACCAUAACUCUUGUGAAUGGCGUGGCUAUCAUUGUGGGUACCAUCAUAGGAUCCGGCAUCUUUGUGACACCAACCGGAGUGGUUAAAGAAGUCGGUUCCGUUGGUAUGUCCUUGAUUAUCUGGGCUGUGUGUGGAGUGUUUUCAACAAUAGGUGCCUUAUGCUACGCCGAGCUGGGGACCACCAUCACUAAAUCAGGGGGAGACUAUGCCUACAUCCUCGACGUAUACGGCUCUCUGCCGGCAUUCCUCAAACUGUGGAUCGAGCUGCUUAUCAUUCGGCCGUCCUCGCAGUACAUUGUCGCUUAUGUCUUCGCUACAUACCUCCUGAAGCCCAUCUUCCCAGACUGCCCAGUACCUGACUCUGGAGCUAAACUCGUCGCCUGUCUCUGCAUUUUGUUGUUGACAGCUGUGAACUGCUACAGUGUCAGAGCAGCUACCAGAGUCCAGGAUAUCUUUGCUGCUGCUAAACUACUAGCUCUGGGCCUCAUCAUCAUCAUUGGCUUUGUGCAGAUCGGCAAAGGUGACACCACUGGUCUCCUACCAGAGAAUGCAUUCGAGGGGACAGAGUGGAAUUUUGGCAACAUUGGUCUAGCUCUGUACAGUGGUUUGUUUGCCUAUGGUGGCUGGAAUUAUUUGAAUUUUGUUACAGAAGAAAUGAUAGAACCUUACAAAAACUUGCCCCGUGCCAUCAUUAUCUCGCUGCCCAUAGUGACGGUCGUGUACGUGCUGACUAACCUGGCCUACUUCACUACGCUCAGCCCUGAUGAGAUGCUACGGUCUGAGGCUGUGGCCGUGGAUUUUGGGAAUUACCACCUUGGUGUCAUGGCGUGGAUCAUCCCGGUGUUUGUCGGGCUGUCUUGCUUUGGCUCUGUCAAUGGCUCCCUCUUCACAUCCUCCAGGUUGUUCUUUGUGGGCUCUCGAGAAGGCCAUCUUCCCAGUUUGUUGUCGAUGAUUCAUCCCACACUCAUGACUCCACUUCCCUCACUCAUCUUCACAUGCAUCAUGACACUCCUCUACGCCUUCUCCAACGACAUAUUCUCCGUCAUCAACUUCUUCAGCUUCUUCAACUGGCUUUGCAUUGCCAUGGCGAUUGUCGGAAUGAUGUGGCUGCGUUACAAGAAGCCGGAACUGGAGCGACCAAUAAAAGUGAGUAGCGGGCCUUCCACGUCACGUGUCAGAGGAGCCAAAACCAGAGAGGAAGAGUGCUGUUAGGAUAAGAAUUUCCCCACAGAUGUUUGACAUGAGAGGAAACAUAUUUCCACUCUGUGAGGAGGAAGUUUACAGGUUAGAAGUUUACAGGUUAGAUAUGCAUGGCUGGUGGGGACACCCUGAGUCACUCUGUGAGGAGGAAGUUUACAGGUUAGAUAUGCAUGGCUGGUGGGGACACCCUGAGUCACUCUGUGAGGAGGACGUUUACAGGUUAGAAGUUUACAGGUUAGAUAUGUAUGGCUGGUGGGGACACCCUGAGUCACUCUGUGAGGAGGACGUUUACAGGUUAGAAGUUUACAGGUUAGAUAUGCAUGGCUGGUGGGGACACCCUGAGUCACUCUGUGAGGAGGACGUUUACAGGUUAGAUAUGUAUGGCUGGUGGGGACACCCUGAGUCACUCUGUGAGGAGGACGUUUACAGGUUAGAAGUUUACAGGUUAGAUAUGUAUGGCUGGUGGGGACACCCUGAGUCACUCUGUGAGGAGGACGUUUACAGGUUACAUAUAUAUUGAAAUAGCAGGGACACCACACUGAGAGACAUGUUGACAUGGGGGCAGAUUUGGACUAGGAGAGUAUACACAGGGACUCUUUGUGUCCGGUGGAUGUCUCUCGUUGUUCUUUCUCUGACCUCUGAAAGUUCAGCAGCAAU